GACAGUGCCAGGUCGGAGACCGAACUCAGCAGGGAGAGUACGAGUUUGUGAAUAUAUUCAACUACACGGUGAGCUACUAGCUGAUGAAGGAAGGUCUUUCCCACAACGUUUGACAGCCCUCUCACGGCCGUGUAUAAACUGGACAAUGAUAUGAUCGGGGCGCGGAUCCUCAGUCCGACGGGACCCAUGAAGACCCGGGCUAGAAGUUUCCUUCAGCCAACUCGCUGGCUUGGUUGAUACCUGCCAUCGUAUCCCAAGUGCGGCGAUAGAUGCCCAUGAUGUUGAUCACUGCAUUGUCUGGUCCAGACUCGAUUUUGUGCAGACCGCCGACAUAUAGCUGGAAUAAUGCUGCGUGCGGCAUUUAACAACAACCGACCAACUCAAUCCGGCGGGGUGAUGUUCCUCCCGAUUCUACGUUCAAAAGUAAAAUUUGAAAAUCUGCUCAGAAGGUUCAUUCAGGAUGAACUGAAAUUUGACAGUGACAGUUUCUUCCCAGGUUUCCCCAUCCCUGACUGUUCCACUUUUUCACCUCUGAUUGUAAAUAUAAGAAAGAGCUCUUUGAUCAAUUA